GAGAAAGAAAAGAAAGAAAAACUAGGCGCGGUCACGUGUGCACGCUUGGGCUCGUUACUGCUCAGAAUUUUAGAAUCACAGAUCCAGCAGUGAUCAGGCAGCUGCAGCUGUCAGGGACCACCACCACCUACGCGAUUGAUCCGUGGGAGAAGCCGUCCUACUCUUUUCUUUCUCCUUUGUCCUUCUCAUUCCUGACCCCUUCAGGAUUCUCAGUCUUCCCUCCGGGAGACUUUUGGCCAGUCUUGUCUCGCUCCAACCUCCUACCCCCACCCCAUUCCUCAGUGCAUUCGUGAAUUUCUCCAAGCAGGCCUUUCCAGAUCGACACUAAGUUCCAAUCCCGAGCUGUGUGACCCAGCACCAAUUCAGUCACGAUGAUGACUUGCAAUUGCUUAAUCAGUUGGCCUUUCCUCCUAGCUGUGAAGUUUACCGUGCAGGAUUGCAAACACCAGAGAGAAAAUCAGUCUCUGGAAUGAUGCCUUUGAUGGACCAAGAUGCAGCUGAUGAAGCAUUGAACCAAUUAGCACCUAGCAGGAGGGCACCCUUGCUCUGUGUCCUUGAAGGUUAAAGCUGUCAAAAAGUGGUCUCCCUCAAGUUCGGCCAUCUUGCUCUCAGAGAUCUAGAACUGGACUCAGUCAAAAUUUUGGGCCAAGGAGACCGACGCGCUGUCGCCUGCACUAAGAGAAACGCAACGAACAACUUUGUCAAUGCAUUGCAUUAUACUAUAGCAGCAACUAUACUUUUAAAUGAUUCGAAUCUUGAGGUUUCAAACUGAACCGUCUUGUGCCUUUUGCCCGGCGGGCAUUUCUGCGGGGACCGCGGGUCACCUUCUGAAUUUUUACCUUCAUAAACAGCAAGGACUGCGCUCUUUCGCACGGCGCCCCGUUUUUUCGUAG
rnacentral:lncRNA from 1 species